rnacentral:rRNA from 1 species
GACGAACGCUGGCGGCGUGCUUAACACAUGCAAGUCGAACGGAAAGGCCCUGCUUGCAGGGUACUCGAGUGGCGAACGGGUGAGUAACACGUGGGUGAUCUGCCCUGCACUUCGGGAUAAGCCUGGGAAGCUGGGUCUAAUACCGGAUAGGAGCCAUUUUUAGUGUGAUGGUUGGAAAGUUUUUUCGGUGUAGGAUGAGCUCGCGGCCUAUCAGCUUGUUGGUGGGGUAAUGGCCUACCAAGGCGGCGACGGGUAGCCGGCCUGAGAGGGUGGACGGCCACAUUGGGACUGAGAUACGGCCCAGACUCCUACGGGAGGCAGCAGUGGGGAAUAUUGCACAAUGGGCGCAAGCCUGAUGCAGCGACGCCGCGUGGGGGAUGACGGCCUUCGGGUUGUAAACUCCGUUCGCUAGGGACGAAGCUUUUUGUGACGGUACCUAGAUAAGAAGCACCGGCUAACUACGUG